rnacentral:rRNA from 1 species
AACGAACGCUGGCGGCAUGCCUAACACAUGCAAGUCGAACGAUGCUUUCGGGCAUAGUGGCGCACGGGUGCGUAACGCGUGGGAAUCUGCCCUUGGGUUCGGAAUAACAGUGAGAAAUUGCUGCUAAUACCGUAUGAUGUCUUCGGACCAAAGAUUUAUCGCCCAGGGAUGAGCCCGCGUAGGAUUAGCUAGUUGGUGGGGUAAUGGCCUACCAAGGCGACGAUCCUUAGCUGGUCUGAGAGGAUGAUCAGCCACACUGGGACUGAGACACGGCCCAGACUCCUACGGGAGGCAGCAGUGGGGAAUAUUGGACAAUGGGCGCAAGCCUGAUCCAGCAAUGCCGCGUGAGUGAUGAAGGCCUUAGGGUUGUAAAGCUCUUUUACCCGGGAUGAUAAUGACAGUACCGGGAGAAUAAGCUCCGGCUAACUCCGUG